CUACGUAGGGGGCGAGCGUUGUCCGGAAUGAUUGGGCGUAAAGGGCGCGUAGGCGGCCCGGUAAGUCUGGAGUGAAAGUCCUGUUUUUAAGAUGGGAAUUGCUUUGGAUACUGUCGGGCUUGAGUGCAGGAGAGGUAAGUGGAAUUCCCAGUGUAGCGGUGAAAUGCGUAGAGAUUGGGAGGAACACCAGUGGCGAAGGCGGCUAUCGGGGACGGAACUGACGCUAAGACGCGAAAGCGUGGGAAGCAGACAGGGAUUGUUACCCUGGUAGUCCACGCCCUAAACGGUGGAUGCUAGGUGUGGAGUGUGUCGACCCCAUCCGUGCCGCAGCUAACACUUUAAGCAUCCCGCCUGGGGAGUACGGCCGCAAGGCUAAAACUCAAAUGAAUUGACGG
rnacentral:rRNA from 1 species